CCUGCUGACAGUGCAGUUCUGUGCGGCAGCCCACAGUUCCCUGCUGAAGCCUUCACAGUGAUUUCUCACAAAGGUCUGCAAUCUAUUAUGCUACAGUUGACUGCUGCAUUCAAAUGUAAAAACAGAUCCUUGGAUCAACACCCUCUAAAAAACCAAGAAAAAUGUGGUAGUGUUCUUUCCUGGCUCUAGCCGAGAGCUCUCCGAGGGAGGAAUCCUGGAGAGCCCAGAGCAGCAGCCGCAGCCGGGUACCUGUGUGGCUAUCCCGGUAACCCCAUCGGUUCCGAAUCCCAGCGAGACAUGGGGGUUCCAGGUAUUGGGCAGGGGGCAGAGAUGCCCAAGGGACCUGUAGUCACCAGAUUCUUUUCACAGAUUCAGAUUGUGGGGGAGAUGGGGCUGGGUUUUUCAUGUCAUCCAGCUCCCCGCUUUCACUCUGGACUAAACCAUUCUGGAAGAUGGCACUUUAAAACCUCUGUGCAAAACAUCCUCCCCCGCCCCCCGCCCCUGGGCUAAAAUACAGCUGCUUUCUUAAAAUAAAACAACAAGCUGGCUGCCCAGAGGUCCUGGCCAAGCCCAAACAAAAACAAAAUUUCCUUCUUAAGACAUCGCUUGCCAUCGGUGCAUAAAAUCCACACUGGAGAAAAUGUGAAGUAGGAUCAGUGGGGACGCCUGAAGGUUUGGAUGAAAAGACACCCUUGUCUUCCUGCCUGCCAGCUUGUCAUCCUUCUCCCUUCUCCCCCACCCACCCCACCCAUACCCUCCAGCAGCUGGGGGCAGCCAGGAGUGCGAAGUGUCAGAAAUAGUUGGAGCACCAGUUUUCGUCUGUUUUGCCGGGCUCUCCCCACUGCUGGUUGCACUGGCUUCAGCGGAGCGGGCUCAUCCCGCCCCCAGAAGGCAAACAGAUCGCUUGUUCACACUCUGUCUGCUUCGUUUGUUCACCUAUUGCCAAUUACCUUGCUGAGAUCAUUGUUUUUCUCUUCUGUAUUUUUAGCUCAGAAGGAACCUCCUCGCGAGAUGACUAUCUCAGACCCCGUCUUUGCUUCCCAGACUGUGGCGAGCCUUGUUUUGGCAGAAUAA
rnacentral:lncRNA from 12 species